CGAGAGUGUCGCCACUCCCAACCACUGUUUACCUACCCGUCCACCGUGCCUCGGCAGGCAGCCCUGUGGGACAGAGCCUCGCCCCCCGCUCCGGGGGGUGCCUGCCGCCGGCCGACCCAAACUCUAGCUGUUUAGUACCGUCUGAGUCUUCCACAAAUGAACA
rnacentral:misc_RNA from 1 species